rnacentral:rRNA from 1 species
UACGGGGGGGGGCAAGCGUUGUUCGGAAUUACUGGGCGUAAAGGGCUCGUAGGCGGCCAACUAAGUCCGACGUGAAAUCCCCAGGCUUAACCUGGGAACUGCGUCGGAUACUGGUUGGCUUGAAUCCGGGAGAGGGAUGCGGAAUUCCAGGUGUAGCGAUGAAAUGCGUAGAUAUCUGGAGGAACACCGGUGGCGAAGGCGGCUUCCUGGACGAGUUACUGACGCCUGAGACGCGAAAGCGUGGGGAGCAAACAGG